UUAUUUGAAAAAGGAUACAACCUAAAACUAAGGGUUAGCCUAUUAACUUUCCCCAAGUGGGCCUAAAAGCAGCCACCUUUUGAAAAGCGUUACAGCUUAACUAUCAACUUUCUCUUCAAUCCUAUUUUAUACUUCGAACCCUACACGCAGUACUGAAUAACCUUAUACUGUUAUAAGAGAUAUAAUGUUAAAACUAGUAACACGAAGCAGCCCUUCUCCUUAAUGUAAGCAAACACCAAAACGGACUAACCAUUGGUUCUUAACGUCCAUGAACUUAACCUAACAACAUCCUUCGAAAACCCUAUGCCCAGACUACGUUAAUCUUACACCAGAACAUUUCGGGAAAGAUAAAAAGAAAAAGAAGGAACUCGGCAAAUCUAAAUCCCGCCUGUUUACCAAAAACAUCGCCUCUUGCCAUAUUUUAUAAGAGGUCCAGCCUGCCCAGUGACAAUUUAACGGCCGCGGUAUUCUGACCGCGCGAAGGUAGCAUAAUCACUUGUUCUUUAAAUGGGGACUAGUAUCAACGGCAUCACGAGGAUUUUUCUGUCUCCUUUUUCUAGUCAGUGAAACUGAUCUCCCCGUGAAGAAGCGGGGAUAGCGCUAUAAGACGAGAAGACCCCAUGGAGCUUUAAACCCAGUUACACCUCAAACUCCCCUUUCCCUCAAAGUUUUUAUGAUUUGUCUUCUGGUUUUAGGUUGGGGCGACCGCGGAGUAUAACUUAACCUCCACAACGCACGGAACUUUUUCUUAUCCUAGAGCCACACCUCAAAGAAUUAACACAUUGACGUUAAUGAUCCAAUUAUUUUGAUUAAUGAACCAAGUUACCCUGGGGAUAACAGCGCAAUCCAUUUCUAGAGCCCCUAUCGACAAAUGGGUUUACGACCUCGAUGUUGGAUCAGGGUGUCCCAGUGGUGCAGCCGCUACUAACGGUUUGUUUGUUCAACAAUUAAAACCCUACGUGAUCU
rnacentral:rRNA from 1 species